rnacentral:tRNA from 1 species
ACCUGGUUAACUCAGCUGGUUAGAGUGUCGUACUAAUACAAAUUUCCACUUGUAUCUUGUAAUGCGAAAGUCGGCGGUUCAAUCCCGCCACUGGGUA